GUGCGCCCGGUCCUUGUAUUCUGAGUGACCUAGAGUGAAAGAUCUUCCAGCGAUCCGUUUUCUUUCUCAAACUCUUUAAUGCCUCAGCUCCCAGGUCAGCCCUCUGGCUCUUGGCACCCCCACUAUUGCGGUGGGCACCUCCCCUCCUUACAGUGCUGCACAGUGACCUCUUCCAGGCCUUGCUGGACAUUCUGGACUAUUAUGAGGCUUCCAUCUCUGAGGGCCAGGUAAGGGGGUGAAGGUGGGUGCCUGGCUUCCUGACUGAGCAGGCAGGACUGGAGGGACACACAAAUUCCUUACUAAAAUAUUAAACUGAGACUUAUGGGCCUUGGCAACAAAAUCCUGAGUACUGCCUGAGGGGUUGGGGCUACUGAGAGUGCUCUUUCUGUGGCCAACCAGCCCUGUACCCCUUCUCCUUCUCCCCUUUGUUGGAUUGCCCCAGUUUCAGCACCAGAGAGGCCAGGCCAUAAUUACUUUUCAGACUUCCUGGGAAUCCUGGGGGAGAACUAGGCCCGAAGGAGUCCCUGCUGCCAGCCCCUCCCUCAGACCCUACCCCAUGCUGUGGCCUCCCUCCAGGGAUGCCCCAUCCCAGCUGUGGGCUUUUUCCUUUUAAGAAAUGAAAUCCAUCCUCCUUGUCUUUGCUGUCAUCACCGAGGCUAGCUAGAUCUCCAUGUUUGCCGUAGGGCCUCUCUGCUCCUGCUUCUAUCUCCUUUCCCAUUAUCCGGGCUCCUGCCAGCAGUGAAGGAGUUAACACUGCCAAGGCACCCCCCCCAUUCUGGCUCCAAGCUCCCUCCCUCCCUCCCCCUGCUUCCUCUCUCCUCCUCUCUCCCCUUCCCUCCUCGGCUCCGCGGCUUCAUCGGCCGCUGCCAUC